UACGUAGGGACCAAGCGUUGUUCGGAUUUACUGGGCGUAAAGGGCGCGUAGGCGGCAAUUCAAGUCAUCUGUGAAAUCUCCGGGCUUAACUCGGAACGGUCAGAUGAUACUGCUUUGCUAGAGUGCGGAAGGGGCAAUCGGAAUUCUUGGUGUAGCGGUGAAAUGCGUAGAUAUCAAGAGGAACACCUGAGGUGAAGACGGGUUGCUGAGCCGACACUGACGCUGAUGCGCGAAAGCCAGGGGAGCAAACGGG
rnacentral:rRNA from 1 species